GAGUCCUACGGGGGGCAGCAGUGAGGAAUAUUGGUCAAUGGGCGCGAGCCUGAACCAGCCAAGUCGCGUGAGGGAAGACGGUCCUAUGGAUUGUAAACCUCUUUUGUCGGGGAGCAAAAGACGCCACGCGUGGCGUUCCGAGAGUACCCGAAGAAAAAGCAUCGGCUAACUCCGUGCCAGCAGCCGCGGUAAUACGGAGGGCGCGAGCGUUAAUCGGAAUUACUGGGCGUAAAGCGCGCGUAGGCUGUUGCGUAAGUUGGGGGGGAAAUCCCACGG
rnacentral:rRNA from 1 species